UCAUGGAAGACUCUACAUGUGCACUAAUUUAUAGGAGCACCGCCAGCCAUUAGCUUUUGACGUAACAAGGCUUAAAGUUUGUGAGACAAGUAAUGUUUUCUGAAGAAAGCUACUUAUGUUAGUAAGCCAGCUGAGAAGCCUAGCAAAAUUCAUUCCACGGGGAGAAGCAAACUCAUAUUCUAUAUUUCACAAAGCCAUCAUUUAUAAAAGGUGAAAACUCUUUUUCUGCCGGAUUUGAAAAAUAGUAUUGAGCUAUAAUGUGGGGCAUUACCUUCCCUCCAAGAAUAUCAUAUGCUUGGAUUCACUCAGUCUUUGAAGAACACUGGGAAAUUUCAGGUGAUUCAGAAGAGGUGGACAGAUUGUUACCUGGAGUUGUACAUUGGGAACAUGUGACUCCUCUUCACUGGCUUAUGCUUUGCUUCUGGGCCCAAUUUCAAGUGCUGGUUAUGACCUUUGAAGCCUUCUGUGCUUUAGGACCUCCUCCUACUUAAGUCCACCGGCUCAUUAAGAUAAUCCGUGCACACUCUCUUGUCUGUUCUACUCAUAUCUGAAGCAUGUAUCCUUGGACCAGGGAAGCAUCCUUCUCAGUGACUGUGCUUAGGGUGUCUGACCUUAGUCCCUCUCUGGAGGUCUUUUAUCGGAGUGUUAGCACCUUGCUUCUCAGGAAGCUCUUUGGGCUCUAAUUGUGACCCUCUUGCUACUUGAUUUUGAAGUUAUUCAAAAUCACUUUCUGGUCUGUUGUGUUUUUCAAUGACACUUUUGCGGUUAGCUGCUUGACUCCGGAUUUUAUGGGAUGUUUUCCCCUUCCACCCUUGGAUAUCAUUGUCAUUGUACAGUAUUGGCUUAGGGGUUCUUCUCCAGCUUGGGAAGCUGAGUUAAAAUUGUUUUAAAUUAACAAACUGAGGCAUAGCAGCCUUGUCGCGCAAGGCUCCUGCCCACUGUAUUUCAUCACAGAUGAGUUAGGCAGGAUCAUCAUUUGUUGUGGCUUUGAGGCUGCCUAUAAAAAGGCAAAGCCCGCCACCCUGAACCUCAGGCUCCCAAGUGCAGGUUAUGCCACCACUGCUAAGAGCUUGAGAGAAGAAAGAAACAUCAAAUGGCCCGAAUCAAACGCAGCCGGAGCCGGAGCCUGACCCGCUUCCGUCAAAUGAGGCAAAAGGCCAGCCAUGCGGGUGGCUCUGGAAAGAGACGAAAAAGACGCCAGGGCAAAAGGAAAGGUCGUGGUCGCAAGAAGGGGCGAAGAAGAAGACACUAAACUCUUUUCAUCUUCAUGGUGUUCUGUGCCCUUGAUUUCAACCAUCUGACUCACCAAAACCUUUGUCUAACAAAAUGAACACAACAAUCUUUCAUGAGAAAUACCCAGGAUAACUUCCUGAGAUUCAAGGAGCCUGCAACAAAUUGAACAAUGCCACCUGUCAAUAAAAUGCUAAAAUUUCA